AAUUGGAGGGCAAGUCUGGUGCCAGCAGCCGCGGUAAUUCCAGCUCCAAUAGCGUAUAUUAAAGUUGUUGCAGUUAAAAAGCUCGUAGUUGAAUUUCGGGAUCAAUAUUUCGGUCAUGCCGUUGGUAUGCACUGUUAUCAUUGAUUUCUCACCUUCUAAAGAACCGUAAUGCCAUUAAUUUGGCGUUACGGGGAAUUAGGACUGUUACCUUGAAAAAAUUAGAGUGUUUAAAGCAGGCUCACGCUUGAAUACAUUAGCAUGGAAUAAUGAAAUAGGACAUCCGAUUCUAUUUUGUUGGUUUCUAGGAUCGAUGUAAUGAUUAAUAGGGAUAGUUGGGGGCAUUAGUAUUCAAUUGUCAGAGGUGAAAUUCUUGGAUUUAUUGAAGACUAACUACUGCGAAAGCAUUUGCCAAGGAUGUUUUCAUUAAUCAAGAACGAAAGUUAGGGGAUCGAAGACGAUCAGAUACCGUCGUAGUCUUAACCAUAAACUAUGCCGACUAGGGAUCGGAUGAUGUUAAUUUUUUAAUGACUCAUUCGGCGCCUUACGGGAAACCAAAGUGU
rnacentral:rRNA from 1 species